UACGUAGGGUGCAAGCGUUGUCCGGAAUUAUUGGGCGUAAAGAGCUCGUAGGCGGUCUGUCGCGUCGAAUGUGAAAACCCGGGGCUCCACCCCGGGCCUGCAUUCGAUACGGGCAGACUAGAGUUCGGUAGGGGAGUCUGGAAUUCCUGGUGUAGCGGUGAAAUGCGCAGAUAUCAGGAGGAACACCGGUGGCGAAGGCGGGACUCUGGGCCGAUACUGACGCUGAGGAGCGAAAGCGUGGGGAGCAAACAGG
rnacentral:rRNA from 1 species